GUCGUACAUCAACAGGAGAAUAUGGCAUUCAACAACACUGAGAUUUUCAUGUAGUUAUGCUUUAAGAGGCUAAUUAUUUUUUACAUGUACUCUAAAAACAAGACAGCACAUACACUGUUUUGUGUGGAGUUUCGAAGUUUUCCCAUCAUGCCAUUGUUUUGUAUGAAAUUAUGUCAUGCCUUUGGAAAAUGCCAUACUGUUCAUUUGUUCAAUUGUACAGCCAUCCUCAGUUUGUAUACACAUUAAUUUGAUUUUAUAUCUUGACUUUGUUUCUUGAAUGGGUUAUAAGCUGUAUAUUGUGUACAUCUGUAUAAGGGUUAGGUAAAACUAACUUCCAAAAAUAAGAAUUACAUGCAUGCCUUGUCAGUAAAUGUGAUGUUCAAACAAACAUGGCUUUUCUAAAGUUGUGCAAUUCUUAAUGUUCUGUUCUUGAUGUGCAAAUGAGAAUUUAAAUUAUUUUAAUAAACACUUG
rnacentral:misc_RNA from 1 species